UAUUUUUUGCUUCCUAUGUCUACAUCACAUCAAUAUCAUAUAGACGUGAAAUCAGAGGCGAAGGGAAGGAGUUAGUAGGUGUAAACUUAAUCAUUAAGGUCUCAAGAUUCAAACAGCCACCUGUUUGAAUUUUCAACAUGACCUAGUCAUCCCUUGGACGCCCAUUGAAACACUUGAUCCAUUUCUUUCCAAGAAGGCAUCAGAAAGUAACCUGAAAGCUACCCUGAUUGUCCCGAAUCACCCAAUCCUCCUCUUUAGGUAUUUCUCCACGAAGCAUGCUGGAAAAUGUCUCUCCUCUUUCCUUCCAGGUUCCCAGUACCUGGCCUGCCACAAGGCCAACCUUCAUACUUAUAUAAAGAGACCACACCCGGAGAGGGGUUUUAUCUCCAACAACAACAUAGCCAACACUACUACUACUACUACUACUACUUUUCUUCUCUUGCAAACUAGGAAUAUUUUCUUAAAAGCUAAUUCAGUCCAAAGUUUCCGCCAUGGCUGUCUUACCUAGCUUCAUGAUCAAUUGCUUCUCUGGUUCUAGUAAGGUUGCGUCCGAGGGAGAGGACAGUCGACGAACAUCCACCCAAGUUAAAGCUGGUGGCGAAGCCAAAUUGAAGGAAAGCAAAGCUAAGAAAAGCCCCCCGAUUCCGAUGACUUACUUCCCCAUCGGCUCAACAUUUUCUCGCUUAUGAACAUGCUUCACGACCCUUUGUGUGUCAGCUUCUCCGAGGGCACGUUUUCCCUAUAUUCCAUAACCAUUCUUUUCCAUUGAUUAUGUUGUUUAUUAGGAAAGGGGACAAGUUGGGAUUGAGGCAAAAUAAACCCUUUUUUAUUACAGAUUUGUAUAAUUAAGAAUUAUUAUUAGUAAAAUAUUCUUUUUGUACGAAAGUCUUCUGUUGUUCAAGUCAUUCACGAACCCAAGUUCCUUACAGAAUUUGGUUAUAUAUUUUGGAUUCCAUAGCUUGGUGAUGCUUAAUCUAUUCAAUGAUGGCAGUUCUUCCUAUAAUAUUUAAAGAAGAAAAAACAGAAUCAAAUCAAGGAGCUAAUCG
rnacentral:lncRNA from 1 species